GGCCGCCCAGAGGGUUUUUAUGGUGGCUCUUUCAUUUCUCAUGUUUUGAUGAUUUUAGAUUCACAUGUUAAGCUAUGGCUUCAACAUUGUUAUCAAGGAAUUUUGUUUCAGACUACCUGCCCAUUUAACCAGCCAGUGCUUGGAAAAUCGGCCUAGGCGGCCUCCCAGUGGGUUUUUAUGGUGGCUCUUUUAUUUCUCCUGUUAUGAUGAUUUUAGAUUAACAUGUUAAGCUACGGCUUCAACAUUGUUAUCAAGGCAUUUUGUUUCAGACUGCCUGCUCAUUUAACCAGUCAGUGUUCCAAAAAUCGCUCUAGACUGCACCUAGGCGCUAGGCGCCCGCCUAGGCGGCCUGGGCGUGUCUGGGCGAGUCUGACUCAGAAAAAUGAGAUGAUGAUGAUGCUAUGAGUGGGAGAGAGAGAUGAGGAUUGAAGAAGAAGAUAGGUCUCGGGUUAUGUCUGAGCGAGAGAGAGGAGACAGCUCGGGUUAGACUUAGGGUUUGAGAAGGAAAAUUGCAUUUUUAUGUAAAAGGAGAGAUGGGCUUUCAACUAACACGUUAUGUCACCGUCUUGAGCCAAUGUUUUUUGUCCCCCAUGGGUAUGGGUAAUGAGUUCAAGAAAGGGCAAGGCGCAAAAAAUGAGAUCAAGAAACAUGGGCUUCCUUUUGACAUCUUGCGGCCAGCCUAUACCUCGAAGAAGGAACACCUUCCAGUUGCAGCCAAAACGAAAGACAGACAAAAGAACCCUCCUCCCUUAUGCAUGGCUGGUGGACGUUCCUGUUCCCGUUCCUGUUCCGGUAGGAACGCGUCAGGGUGUAACAUACUGCCGCUUGUUACGUGAGUAUUGUGGUGUUGAGGGGGAUGUUGAUAAGUUAGAGAAUGCCUGUACUCUUAACUGGCACUAGUCCAGCUGUCGGGCCAACUUGGGCGGCUGUCGCAGUUUCUGAGACCCUCCGGAAAGUUUGCAUUGAUGUAUUUGUUCAAAGACUUGGAGAUAUGCUUCAGCAGCAGG